AUUUGUGUUUGUUUUGCGAAAAUCCGCAAAUUUCAGAGAAAAAAAAAAAAAAAAAAAAAAAAAAAAAGAUUCUUUCGCCUUUUACUAAAGAAUUCCGUGGAGAGGAGCAGUUCAAUGAGUCUUGAACAUUUUUCGAUAUCCGACUUUGGUCGGUUU
rnacentral:snRNA from 1 species